rnacentral:lncRNA from 10 species
CCGGCGGGGCGCGGGCGCGGCGGCCCCGGAGGAUGCUGCUGAGCCCCGGCACUGCCUGGCUGCGAGCACAUGAUGGCGAUACGGGAGCUCAAAGUGUGCCUUCUCGGGGUUCAUUGUUUGGGUGAGAAUACAACGCAGGCGAUCUCGAGUGGUCUUAUUUUUUAACGUGAUCAUGUAUAAUAUUAAAAUACUCUUUCCCACUUAUCUCUGUGGCAUUUAUUUAAAAAAAUUUCUUAGCUUCUGCAAGUGUCAGGCAGUGGUGUGUCUGACACAGAACUUUGACCUCUUGGAGCCUACAUUUUAGCAGGAAGGUAGGGAAAAUAAAUCAUAUGGUCUGUUAGGAGGUGGUAUGUGCUUUAUGGGAAAAGAAGGCAAGAGGUGGGAGUGGGCUGGCGGGGGUGACAAUUGAGUGUGCUCAGUGUCUUCAGAGCCCAGGAUGGAGGCGUCUGCCUCUUAUUUACCCGGGGAUUGACGCUGGUCCUACAGCUUCCUCCUGUGGUAAGCUGCUGAGCUGUGGAGAGGAGAGUAUGUCCUGAGGAGCCAGAGUGGUCUUUUUUGUUACCUAACUUUGUCAGCAGAAAUGAGGAAAAGAAAAAUGGAAUUUUUAUUUGAGACGGAGUCUUGCUCUGUCACCCAGGCUGGAAUGCAGUGGUGUGAUCAUAACUCA